UUACCAGCAAAAUCAGUUUAUUUGGGAAUAGGAAAGGAAUUGCAAUUUGGGACAAGCACACUAUAGCAAAAGCCACAGUCAAGUCUAGCACACAAAGGAGAGGGACUUUAUUUUAUAGAGAAAAAGGAGGAAGUUGGGAGGGUUGUUUUGAACAGAAGCCCAUUGGUGGAAAACAAGGUCUUGUUCAGGGUGGUGACUGUUUCUCGUUGGCUGGGUUGCUGGAGUGGUCUUUCUUGUCUGGAAGGCAGUGGACGUCUCUUCCGGGGCCUGUGACGGACGAUCUUUCCUGGAAUUGACGCAGAGCGGUAGUGCUGAGGGCUCCCCCUUCUGGCCUCCCCACUCCAUUUUGUGUAAGGUUUCCCUUUAUUAAUUUUCACACCUUGAAGAGUCUGUUGAUAGAAACAGAGACAUUCAAGGCGAUUCUGUGAGAGCUUCUGAAAGAGUCAGGAGGGCUGUAAGAAAGCGUCUGUUCCCUUAAGGAACAUGUAUAUUAUCUGCACAGAAUGUUGGUGUGGGGCCUGGUUUACGAACGCUGAAGGUGCUGCUGGGGAGGCUUUCGAGGAAAUGAUGAACACGUUAUUGGACACUGGCAGAAAAGCAGUGCUUGUUAUAAAGUGACGGAAACUUGGCAGAAUUGUGUUCUGUUGUCAGGUAGAAAGUAGAACUUACAAGGGGUGAACUUGGAUAUUUUGGUGAGGAGAUUGCCUAGCAAAAUGUGGAAGGUGCAGCCUGGUUUCUCUUUCCUGCUUAUAGGAAAAUGCAAGAGGAAAGAGGUAAAUGGAGGAAUGAAUUGCCGGAGAGAUUAGGAGUGUGACUUGCAGAUCUAACCAACCGUUUCCACAGAAACCCUGCCAGCGGGACUGAAGUAGGAGAGAAAACAGAGAUACAGAGACACACAGCAACACGGGAGAAGGCCGUGUGAAGAUGGAGACAGAGACGGGACUGAUGCGCCUGCAAGCCAAGGAUUGCCCAGGGUGGCCAGCAGCUGGUGGAAGCUAGGAAAGAAGCGUGGAAGUAUAACCGAAAGUUCAGUCCCUGAACCCGAUGCCAAUUCAAAUAACGAGAACGGUCUUGAGUGGAAGAGGAAAGUCUUUACUAUGCCAGGCACAGGGAGCAAAGCAAGGGCUCAUGCCUCAGAAAUUGCUGGCUCCCCGACAAGGAAUGGGUAGGGGUUUUUAUUUGGGGUUUUGGGUAGGUGAGGGGGAACACGUAGCUUGUGCAGCUCGGUGCUUUUCCACCAGCCUGCGUUUGGCCUUGAGAGGCUGCUUGCAGUGAGGCGGGGGUGGGGGGUGGGGGGAUAGGAGGAUGGCAGGUGGGCGUCCUUCAUCGUUGUCUCUUGUCUCGUCUUCCUGUUUGAGGCAGGUUCGUGCGCCGGGAGUGAGGAGUUGAGGUCUGGGAAGCCUGCCCUCCUUGAUAUUCUUGAGACAGCGGCUUUCCUGGCAGACUUCAAGGACAUAUGAUCAGCUAAACUUUAGUGUGCCUCCCAUUCCAGGCCACCUGGGCUUUUCACAAUUUGUAACUCCCAUUUAGUUAUAAAGCUCAAGGAGGCAAAGGUUAAAGAAAGAGGUGUUUACAUAUGAGCGGAGCUAGAGAAGCAGGAAAGGGGGUGGGGGGGUUAGUUUUAACCCCAUAUACGCUGCGUUCAAUGUGGGGGAACAGAUAUCAGGGCUCAUGUUAAGAGCCUGUAGCAGAAAUCUCUGUCAGAGGCUCCAGUAGGAACCAACCCUGUCAGCACCUCGAUUUUAGACUUCCAGCCUCUAGAGCUCUGAGAGAAUAGAUGUCUGUUGUUUUAAACCCCCAGGCUGUGGCAGUUUGUCAUGGCAGCCCUAGGACACUAACACACAGACUUUUAGAAGUAAUGACAUGGCAAUGACCUUUGGGGAGGCAGGCACGUGAAAGGCAGGCACGUGAAAGGGUGGACAGCAGUAAGCUCCUGGAGGACAAUUUGGGCAAUAUCCAUAAAAAUGGACAGGCAUGCGCCACUGACAAAGUAACCCUACUUCACUGUUGGUCACAUACAUUGUAACGUUGUUUGAAACAAUAAGCAGGAGUCUGGAUAGAUAUAUUAUGGAACAUCCUUUCAAUGCAAUACCUCACAUAAAGAACACAACAGUGUAACAUUUCAUUUCUUCAAAAAAGAGAUUUGAGGCACAUAUGGUGAAAUGUUUUUUAGAAUAAAAUCACAUCAUGGGGAUGCAAUAGCAAGAUAUAUAAUGGGGGGCCAGCACCCUGGCCAAGGGGUUAAGUUCGUGCUCUCUGCUUCGGCAGCCCGGGAUUUCGCUGGUUCAGAUCCUGGGCGCAGACAUGGCGCCGCUCAUCAGGCCAUACUGAGGAGGCGUCCCACGUGUCACAACUAGAAGGAACCGCAACUAAAAAUAUACAACUAUGUGCUGGAGAACUUUGGGGAGAAGAAGAAGAAGAAGAAAGAUUGGCAACAGAUGUUAGCUCAGGUGCCAAUCUUUAAAAAAAUAUAUAGCUCUAUCUAUCUAUCUAUCUAUCUAUCUAUCUAUCUAUUUAUCUAUCUAUCUACACACACACACACGCAUACACGCACAAUGUUGCGGAGACCUCCAUAGGACAAACUAUCCAAUUUCUUAAACAAGUAAAUUACAAGGAAGGAAAAAACAGAGGAAUGAGACACCUAUAGCUUAAAAGAGAUUGAAAAGGAUUCUGUUCCUGCUGUGCCAGAGUAAGCACCUACUGGAACUGACCUGUCUGCAGAGAACUAGAAACUCUGAACAAAAUUAAAUAAAACAAAGCAAUGACCAUAAGAUACUAGAGAGCGAAGAGUCUCUGGAGAGUAGUCGACACCGGAGAGAAGGGCUAACUUGGAAUGAAUUUCCUGUUUCUAUAGCUUUUAGCUUAAAGGUGAGCAAUAGUCCGUGUGGCAUGGGGUGGCUAAAACUCCAAUAAAAACCCUGCAGUCUUUCUGACCUCAACACCUGGAGGACAGAGUUCAGGCAAACCACAGCUGCUAGAAAGUGAGCAAGGGAUUCUGGAAAAAAGAGGAGACAGAGAAAAGAAGCCCUAAAUUCUCCUGUAAGGAGCCCGUAUAGACGGUUCCCCAGUCUCUGGCUUAUCCCUGAACGGCGCCUGCGCCGGCAGGCUCGAAGCAGCCCAGCAAAGAAUAGAGAACUGAACUGAGAUUUGAGCAGCCAUCCAAAAAGACAGAAUCUAAAGUCUGAGUUCAAGUGAGCAGGUUAAUUGUCUACUAAAAAAGACAGUUUUUUCUAAGACACUCUUCAGAAGACUGUAACAGAGUUUAGAGUCUCCACGACAUACCAGUCACAUUAUCUACGUCACAAUAAAAAAUUACUCCACUCUGAAGAGCCGGGAAGAAAUGACCCAUUCUCAAGAGAGGAAAGCAUCCUUAGAGACUACUCCCAAGAUGACCCAGAUAUUAUAUAGCAGACAAGAAUUUUAAGGCAGUGAUCACAGUUAUGCUCAAUGAUGUAAAGAAGAAGUCAGCAAAUUUUUUCUGUAGAAGGUCAGAUAGCAAAUGUUUUUGGCUUUGUGAGUCACACAGGAUCUCUGUUGCAACUGCUCAACCCUGAAAUUGUACUGUGAAAGCAGUCAUAAGAUAGUGUGUGUAAACAAAAGAUAUAGCUGCUUUUCAGUAAAACUUUAUUUACAAAAACAGACAGUGAGCCAAAUUAAAUCCACAGACUGUCAUUUGCUGACCCCUGACAUAAAGAAAAAUAUCUCACAAUGAAUGAAAAGAUAGGAAACCUCAGCAGAGAAAUAAAAACUAAAAAAAGAACCAAGAGGAAAUUCCACAACUGAAAAACAGGAUGCCUAACAUAAAGAAUUCACUGGAGGGGCCAGCCUGGUGGUGCAGCAAAGUUCCCAUGUUCUGCUUUGGUGGCCCGGGGUUUGCCGGUUGGGAUCCCGGGUGCGGACAUGGCACUGCUUGUCAAGCCAUGCCAUGGUGGGUGUCCCACAUAUAAAGUAGAGGAAGACGGGCAUGGGUGUUAGCUCAGGGCCAGUCUUCCUCAGCGAAAAGAGGAGGAUUGGCAGCAGAUGUUAGCUCAGGGCUAAUCUUCCUCAAAAAAAAAAAAAAAGAAUUCACUAGAUUGGGUUUAACAACCAAACAUAGAUGACAGCAAAGUAGUAAGUGAGCUUGAGGGUAGGGCAAUAGAAAUUAUUCAAUCUGAAGAAUAGGAAAAAUAAAAACCAAAUAGAACCCCAGGGAUCAAUGGGACAAUAUCAAAAAGGGUAACAUAAAUGCAAUUGGACUCCCAGAAGGACAGAAGGCGGGGAGAGAGGGUUAAAAAAAAAAAAAAAAAAAAGAAGAAGAGGAAUUGAUAGCUUAAAACUCAACAAUAAGAAAACAAACUCUGAUUUUAUUUUUUUUUAAGAUUUUUUUGUUUUUCCUUUUUCUCCCCAAAGCCCCCCAGUAUAUAGUUGUAUAUUUUAGUUGUGAGUCCUUCUAGUUGUGGCAUGUGGGACGCUGCCUCAGCAUAGCCUGACGAGCAGUGGCAUGUCUGCGCCCAGGAUCCAAAGCGGUGAAACCCUGGCCACCGAAGUGGAGCGUGAGAACCCAACCACUCGGCCACGGGGCCAGCCCCAUAACUCUGAUUUUAAAAUGGGCGAAAAAGUUUACCUGGCAGAUGAGAUGCCGUGAUCACAAAGGUGGUUUCCCCAGGACAAGGCUCAUCCAAUGCUCACCCCUGUGAUUUCCCCACGUGUCCUAGGAGGGGACUGCUCUGUGUUCACGUUCUCCCCUGAAAAAAAUGGGCAAAAAGCCUGGACAGACACCUCACCAAGGAAGAUAUACAGAAGGUACAUAAGCCAAGUAACUCAUGAGUCAAAGAAAUAAUCACAAGAAAAAUUAGAAAAGAUUUUGAACUGAAUAACAAAAAUAUCAAAAUUUGAGGAGCUAAGGCAAUGCUUAGAGGAAAACUUAGAGUCCUAAAUGCCUGUAUGAGAAAAGAAGAAAUAAGUGCCUAAAGUCAAGUACCUGAGGAUCAACCUUAGGAAGCUGAAAGCGAAGAGCAAAGUAACCUCAAAGUAAGUAGAAGAAAGGAAAUUCCAGUUCCAGAAACAAAAAACAAAACAAAACAAAAUAAUUGUUAAAACAGCAAGGCCAAAAAGUAGUUCUUUGAAAAGAUCAACAAAAUUGAUAUACCUUAGCUAGAGCAAUUAAGAAAAAACAGAAAUACACAAGUUAGUAAGAUUAGGAAUGAAAGAGGGCUAUUGCAACAGAAAUUGACAGCAUUAAAAGAAGAAUUAGAGAAUAUUCUGAACAAUGUCAGCGCUACAAAUUCAACAGGUUAGAAGAAAGGGACAAAUUCCUUGUAAAAUGCUGACACAAGAUGAUAAAAUAGAAAAUAUAAAUAGAAUUGUGUCUAUUAAAGAAGUUGAAUUCAUUAAAAAAAAAAAAUCUUCCACAAAGAAACUCUAGGCCCAGAUGAUUUUACUGGUAGAUUCUACCAAAUAUUUAAGGAAGAAAUAACACAUAUCUUAAACAAAUUAUUUUUAAAAACAGAGGAGGAUGGAACACUUUCCAAGUCAUUUCAUUGAGUCCGUAGAACUCUGGUUCCAAAACUUAAAAAACACAUUUUAAAAAUUGCAAGCGAAUAGUCUUCGCUUGGGUGGAAAACUCCAUAAGAAAAUAUGAGCAAAUUCAAUCUAGCAGCAGAUGAAAAGGAUAAUACAUUAUGAGCAAGUGGGAUUUAUCCCAGUCAUGCAAAAUGGGUUUGGCAUUUGAAAAUCAAUGUAAUUCACCAUACUAGCAUCAUAAAGGAUAACCAUACUUCAGUAAAUUCAGGAAAAGCAUUUGACAAAACUCAACACAUUCACAAUAAAAACUGUUAGUAAACUAGGAAUAAUAAGGAAAUUCCUCAAUCUGAUAAAGCCCAUCUAUUAAAAAAAAAAAACCUACCGUUAAUAUCCUGUUUAAUAGUGUUCCGUAAGACUGGGAACAAAGUAAUACCAAAUCUAUUUAACAUUGUACUGGGGGUCCUAGCCACUGCAAUAAGGCAAGGGAAAAAAGGCACAAAAAUCUGAGAGAAGAAUUAAAACUGACUCUCUUUGUUGAUGACAAGAUUAUUUAGAUAGAAAAUCCUACGGAUUCUACAGCUACUAGAACCACAGGAUACAAAAUUACUGUCCAAAAUUUAACUGUAUUUUAUAUACUGAGAGCAAACAACUGGAAAUAAAAUCUUAAAACAUUUCCAUUUAUACUAGUCUCCCCCAAACCGUGAAAUUAGAAGUAACAAGAGACUUGCAAGACCUACACUGAAAACUAUAAAACAUUGUUGAGAGAAAUUACGGGAUAUUUAAAUCAACAGAGCAAAAUGCCAUGCUCAAGAUGUGGAAGGCACACUACCCCGAAGACACCAACUUCCUCCCGCACGGAUCCAUAGGAUUGGCACACUUCUUCUUAAAGGGCUGGAUAGCAAUUAUUUUAGGCUUGUGUGCCAUAUGGUCUCUGUUGCAACCUCUUAACUCUGUCAUUGUAGCGUGAAAGCAGCCACAGACAAUAAAGAAAGGAACAGGCAGGGCUGUGUUCCAAUAAAACUUUAUUUACAAAAUAGGUGGCUGGCUGCCACGGGCUGGGUUUGCCCAAAUUUAUAAAUUGAACACAAUCUCAAUUGUAAUCCAAGCAGGAUUUUAGUGGAAAUUCACAGUCUGAUCCUAAAAUUUAUUUGAAAAUUCAAAAGACUUAGAAUAUCCAAAGCAGUCUAAAAAAUGAAGAAGAAAAAGAACUUACAUUAUCUUACUUUAAUACCGACCAUAGAACCACCAUAAUCAAGAAAGUGUGGUCCUGGCGAAAGGACCGACAGACCAACAGAAUAGAAGGGAAAGCCCCGAAAUGGAGCCGUAUUUCCACAGUCAGUUGAUUUUGAAAAAGGCAUCAAAGCAAUCCAAUGAAGAAAAGAAAAUCUUUUCCACAAAUGGAUCUGGAAUCGCCAUACGUUCUUACGGAAAAAAAUGAGCCUCAGUGCCCAUUUCAUACCACACAAAACUCAAAAUGAAUUCAAGACGAAUCAUAGUGAUAAGCAUACUAGACAAAGCCAUAAGCUUCUGAAGGAAAACAGGAGAAUGUCUUCAGGAUUUGAGGGGUCGACAAAAAUUUCUUAGGUCACAGAGAAUAAGAUAAAAUUUGAUAAAUGAAAUUUUAUUAAAUAAAAAACUCCUGCUCAUCAUCAGGUUUCGUUAAGAAAAAUAAAUAGGCAAGCCACACUGGGAGAAAAUAUUCGCAAAACAUAUAUCUGAAAAAGGACUAGUGCCCAGAAUAUGCCUAUUUUUAAAAUAGGCAUAUAGUCCUUUUGCAGAACGCCUAUUUUUAAAAAGCCUCCAAUCAAUAAGGCUGAGACUAGCAACUAAAUUUUAAAACAGGCAAAAGAUUGGAACAGGCACUUUACUGAAGAAGAUGUAUGAAUAGCCAAUAAUGAAAAAUAUUCAACAUGACUAUGUUCAACAUCAGGGACGUGUAAAUUAAAACUAUAGCACACAUCCAUUACACACGCAUCAGAACGGCUAAAAUUGAAAUACCUGACAGCAUUAAAGAUUUCUGAGGAUGUGGAGCUGGAAAUCUCAGACGUUGUUGGUGGGAACGUGAAAUGGGACAACCGUUUUGGGAAAAGGUCUGGGAGUUUCUUGGAGAACUAAACGAUGCCUACCCGAUGACACAGAGUUCCACUCUCUGAUGCGUGCUGAGAGAAAUGAAAGGACAUUUUCACAAAAAGUCUUGCACGGUCAUGUUCACAGCCACUUUAUUCAUAACAGCCCCCAGUUGGAAAGAGCCCUCGUAGCACCAGUAGGAGCACGUUGGAACAAACCGCGGUUCGUUCCCUCACUGGAAUCUACUCACCAACGGGAAGGAACGAGCUGCCGCUGCCCACAGUAAAGGUGAACCUCAGAAACAUUGCCCUGAGUGAAAGGAGCCUUACACAAAGGAAGCGUAGAGUAUGACCACAUUUAUAGGAAGUCCUAGAAGAGGCAAAAUAAAUCUGCGUUGGAAGAAAAUCAGAACAGGGGAUGCCUCUAGGAGACUGCAGAAUUUGCCUAUUCUAGAUGCCCGGAGCUGCGCUGUGCUGGGAGACGGAGCUGAGCUGUCAGUGCUGGGGCAGCGGGUGAAAGCAACAAGCCAAAGACGAAAGGGGGAAGCUUUAAUCACUUACUGCGGUGACAGAAGCGAGAAGGCACCGACGCCCCGUUCCAUCUUCCCCCAUGAGUGGCGCACCUGUGGAGGGUCAGGUGGAGCAGAGCACGUGUUGAGGGGACCCCACAGGGAGGAGGAGGGGUGGGUGUGGAGGAGGACAGCGGGGAGUGGAGGAGCACUGGGCCCUGAGUCAGGGGGGCAGUAUCUUGGUGGUCCCCCCUCAUCCCCACCUAAAGAGGCCUCACAGAGGCGCCUGGAGAAGAGCCCUGCCUGAGGUCGCAGAUAGCGACCUAGGAAUGGAGGCACCCGGCUAGGAAUGUAAAUGGGCGAGGAGAAGGCCGGCCAGGGGCAGAGUCCUCGCCUGCAGCUCCCUCAGAGCCCGCAGUGCCCGCCGCCGGGCCGGGCUGCUGGGGGAAGGGAGCUUCCCCACCCCUCCCCGCAUGGCCACCAGGGAAAGCGUUUGUAAUGGCCUGUGGCGGCCAAAAAGUCGCACAAAGACGUUUAACCCGGAGCCCGACUCCUCACUACAUAUUUCAAGCUCCUGGCCCCCACCCGAGAGGCUCUAACGCAGCAGGUUUGUGGUGGGGCCCAACGGCUCUAAAUCUAACAAAUGUCGCCACGGUCCAGACUGCGCUUUGAGAACCACGGAUAUCGAGGACAGAGCCCAGGCUGAGAGAGCUAACAUGGCAGAGGGAGUUUCAGCUCACCUGUGACCACUCAGCUGGAGACAACAGACUGCCACCCUGCUGUGUUCACUGAGACAGAAGACCUACCUGCUGUUUCCAUCAAUCGCUGUGCCGACAGAGCAGUCUCGCGACUAUUGUAAAAGAGACAUUUCAAUCCUAUGUGAAACAUCCUCUCUGGGGGUAUAUAACCAGUCUCUGCACCCCACUUCUUUGGUGCCCUUUCUUCCUUCGGGAAGAAAGGCCCCGGGUUAUAAUCCUCAGAUUUAAGCUCAGAAUAAACUCACCCAAAUUUUCAUU
ensembl:lncRNA